rnacentral:rRNA from 1 species
AUUGAACGCUGGCGGAAUGCUUUACACAUGCAAGUCGAACGGCAGCACGGGGCAACCUGGUGGCGAGUGGCGAACGGGUGAGUAAUACAUCGGAACGUGCCCAAUCGUGGGGGAUAACGUAGCGAAAGUUACGCUAAUACCGCAUACGAUCUACGGAUGAAAGCGGGGGAUCGCAAGACCUCGCGCGAAUGGAGCGGCCGAUGUCAGAUUAGGUAGUUGGUGGGGGUAAAAGGCUCACCAAGCCGACGAUCUGUAGCUGGUCUGAGAGGACGACCAGCCACACUGGGACUGAGACACGGCCCAGACUCCUACGGGAGGCAGCAGUGGGGAAUUUUGGACAAUGGGCGCAAGCCUGAUCCAGCCAUUCCGCGUGCAGGAUGAAGGCC